GACGAACGCUGGCGGCGUGCUUAACACAUGCAAGUGGAGCGACGAACCAGGCUUCGGCCUGGGGCAAAGCCGCGAACGGGUGAGUAACACGUGGGUAACCUGCCCCGAUGACUGGGACAACCCGGGGAAACCCGGGCUAAUACCGGAUGUGCUCUCAUCACAUCAGUGAUGUGAGUAAAGGUAGCUUCGGCCUCCGCAUCGGGAUGGGCCCGCGGCCCAUUAGCUUGUUGGUGGGGGAACGGCCUACCAAGGCGACGAUGGGUAGCUGGUCUGAGAGGACGAUCAGCCACACUGGGACUGAGACACGGCCCAGACUCCUACGGGAGGCAGCAGUGGGGAAUCUUGCGCAAUGCGCGAAAGCGUGACGCAGCAACGCCGCGUGGGGGAAGGAGGCCUGGUGUAACCC
rnacentral:rRNA from 1 species